rnacentral:antisense_RNA from 1 species
CGCGGGUCGAGUGCUGUAGUUCGAUAUUUGCGUGUGUGCGUUGCUUGCGGCCUUUGUGCCUUUUUAUUCUUUGCUUACCUUUAUGAUAUAAAGACCUUAUUUCUUACAAGGAGGAAAAGACCGCUGACUUCAGAAACAGCGGGAACUCCAGCUCGUCCCCGCAUUCUCAGUUUACAGCUGAGGAAACUAAGCUUCAAGUUGCCCAAGUUUAUAGAAUGAGUCAAUGGCAGAGGUUGAACUCAGAUGACAAAAUUGGGGUCUGGACAUGUGCAAGGACUUUUCCGAAGUCAGCUGGAAAGGAGCUGCUUAGCUGAGAGGUUCUGGCUCCAAAGUCUCCUGUGAAGUUGCAGUCAAGAUGUCUGCUGGGACCCCAGUCAUUUGAAGCCCUGUCUGGGGCAGGAGAAUCUAGGUCCAAAAUGGCCGUUGCAGGAGUCCUUAUCCACACCAUGUGGGGCCUCUUCAUAGAUGUUCGAGUGUCCUCAUGGCAUGGCCACUGGCUUUCCCCAAAGUAAGCAGUCCAAAAGAGGGUAAGACAGAGCCCACACUGUCUUUUAUGAAUUAGCCUUGGAAGUCUAACACGGUUACUUCCACCACAUUCAUUAGUCGUUAGGUACAGCUCACAUUCAUGGGGAGGAAAAUCAGGGCCUGUCUUUAGAUAGGAGAUGUAUCAAAGAAUUUGUGGACAUAUUUUAAAAUCACAGCACUACUCUUGAUGUACUAAGUCAGUGACUCCCCCAGGAGUCUCACAGAGAAUUGACUCCUUGCCCACCUAUACUACCUUUGUGGGUAGAGACUCCAGUAGUGUGCUGGUUAAUGUUCAACCAGUGGCUUUCUAGAAAACAAAAUGUAUGGAUACAUAUAUAUGUUCUAAGUUUUACUGAUAUGAAGAAUGUGUAGCACAGAAUUUAUAAAUAAUAAAAUAUACAGUAUUAUUUAUUGUAAAUUCCAUAAAACCUGUUGUUUUUCACAAAAGGUUUUAGUUUAUUUUUCCCAAAUGCUUGUAUCGGUAACAUUUUCUGUAUUACUUUUU